GCCCGGGUGGCGGAAUUGGUCUACGCGCACGACUCAAAAUCGUGUUCUCGAAAGGGAUUGUGAGUUCGAGUCUCACCCCGGGCA
rnacentral:tRNA from 1 species